UCCAGAGUUCAAAUCCCAGCAACCACAUGGUGGCUCACAACCAUCCGUAACGAGAUCUGACUCCCUCUUCUGGAGUGUCUGAAGACAACUACAAUGUACUUACAUAUAAUAAAUAAAUAAAUCUUUAAAAAAAAAAGAUAAAAAUGUCCCUUCAUAUUGAUCAAGGAACAAUCCAUCAAGAUGACAUUAAAUUUUUUAACAUAUAUGCAACAAACUCAGGUGCACCCAACUUCAUAGAGCAAAUUCUAAGUGUAAAGCAGUUGAUUAACCCCAAAACAUUAAUAGUAGGUCACACUAAUAUCCAAUGGACAGGUUAUCCUACAAAAAAGAAAUGUAGAAAUAACAUAGCUAAGUGACAUCAGAGAUCAAGCAGACCUAACAAUAGUUACAGAACAUCGCAUUCUAACCUUAGAGAUUACAUAUUCUCCUCAGCAGCCUGUACAGCCUUCACUAAAACAUCUAUAAUUUGGAACAUAUAAUUUCUCUCAACAAAUCUAGGAAAAUUUAAAUAAUUCCUUGAAUCUUAUCUGACCAAAAUGAACUACUAAAUAGAAACCACAGAAAACAUGCACAGUCAUGGAGAUUAACUAAUAUACAAUUAAAUGAUGAAUGAAUCACUGAAAUUGAAAUAAAAUGAAAACACAUCAUGCCAAAACUUAUGGGCUACAAUUAAGGCAGUCCUAAGAGGAAAUUUUAUCAAAAAAAAAAAAAAAAAGAAAGAAAGAAAGAGAAAAGAAAAGAAGAGG
rnacentral:lncRNA from 1 species